UAUGUAUGAGAGUGUGUUUCUCAUGUGCUUGGUGUUAGGCUCUUGCACCAUGUGGUGCUAGUGUGAUUGAUGUGUGUGUGUGUCUCACACAUGCCAAGGCAUGAUGUGCCUUGAUGUAAAUGAGCAAGCUUGUGUGUGUAGGUGUUGGAAUCAUGAUGUGAGUGUAGUUAGUGUAUGUUCUAACUAGCAUGUGUAGGACUUGCUAUAUGUUGUGCUUGAUGCAUGUGAGUGUGUGGUGGGGUGCUAAGGCACAUGAGCAUCAGGUCUACCCCUCAUGUUCACCAUUAGUGUUGUGGACAUGUGCAAGAG
rnacentral:lncRNA from 1 species